rnacentral:rRNA from 1 species
GAAUGUUUGACAAUGGGCGAACGCCUGACCCAGCAAUGCCCCGUGCAGGAUGAAGGCCUUCGGUUUGUAAACUGCUUUUGUACGGCACGAACAGCCAUGGGCUAAUACCCUGGAGUCAUGACGGUACCGUAAGCAUAAGCACCGGCUACCUACGUGCCAGCAGCCGCGGUAAUACCUAGGGUGCAAGCGUUACUCGGAAUUACUGGGCGGAAAGCGUGCGCAGGCGGUUUUGUAAGACAGAGGUGAAAUCCCCGGGCUCAACCUGGGAACUGGCUUUGGGACGGCAAGGCUAGAGUACGGCAGAGGGGAGUGGAAUUCCGCGUGUAGCAGUGAAAUGCGUAGAUAUGCGGAGGAAAACCGAUGGCGAAGGCAACCCCCUGGGCCUGUAAUGAAGCUCAUGCACGAAAGCGUGGGGAGCAAACA